CUAUUGUUCUUGUCUUAGAGCCGCAGCCGCCUUUCACUUCUGCUAGGGUUCCGACGUUCUUCCGAUUCGCGUUCCGUCUUGGCCAUUGUUCUGCUCACUGCGAAUCGGGUUCUAGAGCUGUCGUGCUCCUUGUUCUGUGCCGAAAGACCUGUACGGACCCAUUUCCAGGUUGGGUAUGAUCUUGGCAUAUGAAAUGAAUGAGUGGUUUGGAACUAAAGGAACAUGGUAUUGACAUGAGAGGAGACCCUAGACUCAUGGA